CUUGUGUCACAUUUAAAGAGGUUACCUCAGCCCUUCUGAAACCUGCGACUGGGCUCAGGCAGAAGGGACUUACUUUAUCUCAGAUGGGACUUUGGACUUGGACUUUUGAAUUAAUGCUGGAAUGAAUUAAGACUUUGCAGGACUGCUGGAAGGCCAUGAUUGUAUUUUGAAAUGUGAUGACAUGAGAUCUGGUUUUGGCUGUGUGCCACCAAAAUCUUAUCUUGAAUUAUAGUUCUCAUAAUCCCCAAGUGUCAUAAGAGGGACCCGGUGGAAGAUAAUUGAGUCUUGGAGGUGGAUACCCCCAUGCUGCUGUUCUUGUGAUACUCAGUGAGGUGUCACAAGAUCGGAUGGUUUCCCCCUUUAGCUCAUUCUUAUCUCUCCUGCUACCAUGUAAAGAAGGAUGUAUUUGUUUCCCUUUCUGCCAUGAUUGUAAGUUUCCUGAGGCUUACAGCCCUGCAGAACUGUGAGUCAAUUAAACCCUGUUUUCUUUAUAAAUUA